rnacentral:rRNA from 1 species
UUAAACAUGAGAGUUUGAUCCUGGCUCAGGAUGAACGCUGGCGGCGUGCUUAACACAUGCAAGUCGAACGAAGCAACUUAUUACGAUCUCUUCGGGGUGACGAUUUGUUGACUGAGUGGCGGACGGGUGAGUAACGCGUGGGUAACCUACCUUGUACAGGGGGGCAACAGUUGGAAACGACUGCUAAUACCGCAUAAGCGCACAGCUUCGCAUGAAGCAGUGUGAAAAGUUUUUUCGGUACAAGAUGGACCCGCGUCUGAUUAGCUAGUUGGUGAGGUAACGGCCCACCAAGGCGACGAUCAGUAGCCGACCUGAGAGG